UUGCUGGUCUUUGGCUUCCCUUACUGUAAUGAAAAUUAGUCACUGGUUUUCACAGAGCCUGACAUCCCUACUUAGCCCUCUCCUGAUGGGCAAAUCCCUGGCAUCCAGCUUUGUCCCCCAGGAUCAUGCUUGUCUACUGGAAGGCAGUGCAAUUUGGGGCUCCUGGCUCUGAGCACAAAACCUAACUGCAUCCAUUUCCUUGGCAGAGCAUGACCAGGAGGAGGGGAAGCAAUACCCUGAUGGAGUGUGUGCCACCCCUGUCCCACAGCCUGCAGCCACUGGUCCAGUUUCCAGAAGGGAGCCUCUGUCUGGAGAUGGUGCCUGGGACUCUUUGGACAGCAGUGAAUGGAUGGGAAUUGGAAGGUAUCUGGUCUUUCCCAAAAAUGCUUCCUACCAGCCCUUCAUGCUUGCAGUAUCUGUGUAAAGCUGCCUACGCUGGUUACACAUACCCACAGCUCCUCUGCACCAGAAGUGCUGGGGAAGCCCAGCCUGCACUUCUGCAGCUGGUUUACCUGUGAAUUACACCCCUGGUUUUUAAUGGUAGUCCUUGCUCUGACCACUCGUGUCCAUCCUUCCUAAACUCCCUGCAAACCCAAGGUCAUCAGCCUGUGGGCAGUCAGUCCUGGUGGCUGCUGCAAAGGGCAAGGUGCCCCUCGCAGGUACAGAAACUGUGAGGGUUUGGAUCGCAUUAAAAGGUACUGCUCAUUAAUAACAAACUGAGAGCAAAGACAGCCUUUCCCAGCUACACCUGAAUCCCUGCACUUCCCAAAGCCUCUGAACAAACGCUUGGCUUAGCAUUCCCCCAGCAGCCUCUGUCCCUUUAACCCUGGCAGGAGAAACUAUUUUACCUAAAGGGCCAUAGUAACAGCAGAGGAAAAAUGAACAAAAUGAAUGCCUACGACUGUGGAAGCACAGCAAAGCCUUCAGGUGGAAUGGAGGUGAAUUGCUGUAGGAAGCUGCAGCCAUCCCAGGCCACUGGGGAUGCUCAGCUGUCUGCUCUCAGUUCAGUAACACACCUGCUUACAUUAUUAAUUACUUCCAUUUCUGAACUGGCAGAAGGUGGUUCCUGUUGUCCUGACAUUCACUGGAGACUGAGGUGAGGCUCUGCAUCUGUCCCUGGGCUGGGCUGGGAAGGGUUUGUCUUUUGGGGUGGAUACAGGGAGCUGUUAACUUGCUGUUCCCUGGGACUUUAGCCACCUAAAUCCACUGCCCCUCUGCCAGGAAAAUGAAUGACACAUUGUCACCAGGGAGAAAAGAGAGUUUGCACACAUGUUCAGACAUCAAGAGGUCAGUGUUGCUGCAGAAGUAGGUGGAUGGGUACAUUUAUGUAGUAUGUAUGUGUUACUGAUACUGCCAGGAUAGCCUGGGUCUCAGCUGGGUACACAAAUGGCUGCAAAGUCUGGGGAUUAGACAUAAAUCAUACACAAAGCUGAUAAGCACCAAGUUUCAUUGUACUGGCAAAUCUUUUUGAUAAUCUUUAUAUUAUAAAUGCGGGAUAGUUAAUGACAGAGUUUCUAAAUAAAGAAUAGAAGAGAAAAAUCUUGUAUAAAAUUAUUUCAAGUAAGUACUGUUCUUAGCUGCUCAUACUAAAUCAUUUGAAGUCUGUAAUAUCCUCCACCACUGGCCAUACCAGUGACCUUAUAGAUGCUCUACCUGUGAGAGUCUCCUACUAGCCCCACACUCACAUAAUUCAGGAAAAUUGCCCCAAACUGAAAUGAAACUGCAGCCCUCAGACAUUCCUGUCCUGGGAUUUGGGGUUUGCGGCUGGUGGUUCAUUAAUGACUCCCUGCUGGAUUGGUGCAGGGAAUUCAGGCAGAGUCAGGCAAGGAGCAAGUUUUAACUGUGGCAUUAUUGAAAAUUUGAAAUAAUAAGUAAAGAAAUAAAUGUGGAGGUUUUGUGGUACUGGAAAUUUGCCCGAGUUUGUGCCAGUUUCUAUGAAUUUGUCUUUAAAAAACAAUCAAACCCCAAUAAUUCUGUAAAAAAUGCCAAGCAGAAUUUUUCUGUAAAGGCACUGCAAUUUGUUGCUGUUUUCGUGAAAAUUAAUAUUUUUAGUUUAACAUUCUUUUUGCCAACUGCUUUCAUUCCAAAUGAAAGAUUUCAAAUCAAACCAAGCGUUAAAUUUAAACAAAAGUGAAACUCUAAAAAGUCAAAAUCCAUUCAUGUUUCCCUGACAGUGGCGCGCUGCAGUCCAAACUGAGCAGAAAUCUGUUGUGCUGAGCUCUGGCAAGCUCCUUUUGGAGACAAUGCAUCCCUGAAAAAACCUACAGGCUCAUUUAGUUUACAAUUAGGAGAUUUAAUGGGUUGUAGUGGAUGUUUAAUGGAAGUCAGAGCAUCAGAGAAACAUGCACUUAUAGAGACUUACUUGCUAGAUCAAAAAUAAUGAGUUUCAAGCUAAAAUCAGAGGUACAAGAAAUGCUUUUCUCGCUCCCCCAAAAUUGCCACAGUUUCAAAUAUUUUCCUGUUUCUGAUGUGAAGCAAGUCUGCAACUUCUCAUGAGACAGAAAGAUAAAAAACCUCAAAACAGAGCAGCUCCCAAUUCAUGUUCAAGGCCUUUUUCUGCCUUUUCUCAAGGUGACUGAUCUAACCACUGCAUUACUGGCAAUUUUGCAUGAGUGAGCACUCAUCUGAGUGCUGCCUCUUUUGUUUUCUCCUUGCUCCAGUUGUUGAUUGACAGCACUCCAAGUGAAACAUUUCAGAACAUGUUUCUUCCUUCAUAUCCAACUAGAAACUACCCCAGGACCCCAGAAAACUUCUUAGUAACAGCUUUUGUACAGCCAGUUUGCACCUUCGAAGGUAGUGACAAUGGUUGCAGAGGCAACCCAGAAAACACAAAUAUUUCUGGUUAUUCUUAAUGAGCCCAAUCAUUUUUUUCCACUGUUCUCCCAUUCCUCUCUCCUUUGGUUCUGGUCCCAGCAGGCUCAGGGAGGCAGACAGGAGUCCUGCACCUUUGCAUCUCAUUCUCCACUGCUUCCCCUGAGUUCUGCCUGCAAAAUUCUGGUGACUCCAUGGCUGUGCCACAGCCGCGGGGUACAAGAGAUGCCAGUUGCUUUGGUGCAGAAGAGCAAAGCUUUAAGGCAUAGGAUGCUGUAGCCUUUUUUUCUGAGCAGCUCACCAGCGCACAGCCCUCAGACUGCCCACUGAAUGAUGAUCUGCCACAAGUGGCAUCUUGGGGUAGCCUGGGUAGAACAUAUUCAUAAGGAGAUUUGAGGGCCAGGAAUCAGAGCCUGGAUAAUGUCCAGAACUGGAGAAGCAGAGAUUCCUUCAAUCUGAACAAAGAAAUCUUGACACUGUGCCUCUGCUUUCACCUGUGCUCAGAUCAGAUCCUUAAGUCUUGAUGUAAAAAUAGUGGGGCAGGAGGUCUCAGAUAUAAAAUAUUGCAAAGGAGUUGAAAUGAAAAGAAUUGUUUCCAGAUCCAUCACAUACUUGAAGCUUGAAAAGUGAAGCCAGUAUAAUAGGAUUUCCAAGAAGGAAGGCAAAUAGGUGAUGAAUACUCCCAGUUACACUACGAAGCAAAUAACAUCUUGUUAUUUGCAGAAGCACCCCCUAGAAUUGUUGGGACUAGAGAAAGACAAGAUGUUACUAUGUAAAAGUAAGUGGUACUUGUAAGUGAUAAACUGUGAAGAUGUACACUUUGUUGAGCAGAGAGUGCCAUUUUAAUAAUGGAAUCUACCAUUAUUGUACUCAACUGCGUAAUGACGAUAGACCCUAGGAAGAGUUUGCACAUAGGUAGAAGCUGUCUGGAGCCAUGUUUUAAGUGGAAUUGAGCUUCCAAAUUGAAUAAAGAAUUUAAGCUUUUCUUAGAUUUGAAAAUUGUGUUGGUCCACAAUUUAUCUUUCUCUGCCUUUAAGUCACAGCUGCCAAACUCCUCUGCGGUUUCCUAUCUGGGAUGUAUGCAACACUAUUGUAGCUUCACACUUACUAUCGUGUCCAUUUCACAAAGCCCCAUUUUUUUCUGAUGGACUUACAGAAAAAGAAUAAAUAACUCUCUUCAAUGUCCAAUUGGGUUUAUGGUUAACAAUCAUUUGGCAGAGCAGAGUAGGUUAUUUUAAUGAACACAUCAUUCUGAAAUAAGCCUUCCACCGUCUGUUCAGUUCCAUAAUUAUAAAUGCAAACAACAUAAUUCAUAAAUGCACUAUAAAAGAAAGGGAACGAGAGAACAGCUUAAGAUGACUGUUUGUUAGUUAUUCCAGACAGUGAUGCAUCUGCUUACUUUAUUCCCGUUCCAGGAGCAGGUAGAAAACAGUCUUUUAAUUCUGUGUUUUAUGGCAGUCACUAAGCCAUAGUAAAUGAUUCCCUGUAGACGAUAGAGAUACCAUUAAAUGCAGUAUGGUUUCUGGUUGGUAUCAUUAUUUAACCGUAUCUAUGAUCGAUGUGCCGAAGAAAGUUCACACAGAGCACCUUGAAUCACAGUGGGCCAGGAAUAAACUUGGACAUGUUUUCUAGAACAGCAGGAAAGAGCCUGUGCCAUUGGAGUGCCUUUCAGGGUCACAGGAGCUAAGGAUAAAGAUGACGAUGCUGUUGUCUCCCUGAAAAGAUGUUUUUGACAUUUUUGAAAACUGGGAAAUCUUUGGAAACAGUCAAAACUGAGAGGGGUAUCAACAUAAAAUCCAAGAAACCCUGGAAUUUGAUAUUAUAAUCUGUGACAUUUUUCAAUUUGAAAGAGGAAAAUUUAAAUCUUAAAUACACAAAAUGCCAAAAUGCAAUGAGAGCAAAAGAUGUUGUUUUGUUCUCAUUUCCUGCUGAAAAAAUCCAAACACACAAUCCAAAUUAAAUGUAUUUUGAUGAAACAUUUGAUUUUAAUUUUCAAAAGGCCAGUACAGAAUUGUCCCUCUCACCAUUACCAGGUUCAUAGACUCCAUAAAAUUAAAAGCUUUCUCAUAAAUGCAGUCUCUGAGCUGAAUGACUCAUGCUUCCAGCCACUAAAAUGAACUUCCACAUUUGGCCAUCAGUAGAAAAUCAUUAUAGCAGGAUAAGAAUACCCCCUACCUACACAACAUGAUUACUGUGGCAAAAUGGAAGCAGAAAUUACAAGCUUGCUCUGUUUUAUUGAUACAUAUCAACAUUGCAGAACAAUGUAAAUGAGUUUCAUAUUCAAUGUUACAAAGCUAGCAAUAGAUCUAAUACUUCCAGGAUGAAUAGCUCCUGAUUUUUCUUUGUGGGUUUCUCAUUUCUUCCUGUUUCUGAGAUGAGCAAGAUACUUGCAGGAUUUCCUAGCAAUAAGGUUUAAGCUUUUGUGUAUCAUCUUUGUGCUGCAUCUGGUUGACCUGCAAGCCAGAGGAGACCAGCGUUUUAUCAAAGGUGAGUUUAAUAAAGGUAGGUCUUUCACUGCACCUCCACAUGACUCCCUGUGAUCUGCUUUGUCCAACAGAAGUCAAUUCAAAGAGAAUCUCUCAUCUAAAUGUGUGAGAAACCAAUGAAUAUAAAAAGAGUGCAUGAACUCAGAAAGCACAGUGAAAACUGCUCGAAGAGAACUCCCCCAAAUAUCAGAUAUAUUUCCAUCUAACUUUGUAGAGAUGAUACACUUAAUGUUUGUCUCUUGUGUGUUCCCAACCAAGCAGGGUGGAGGAAGCUGGAUUUCAAACCAGAUAAACCCAGGCGUGCAGAUGGUGCUGCCGUCAGUAUGGCUGGCUGCUGCUCCUGGCUGGGGGCUGUUAGGCUGCACUGCAGACGGAUGUCUCCAUCCCCUCCUCCUCUGCUGAUUUCUCUUCAUUGCAAGCUGACAGCCUGCAGAUACGGUAUGAUUAUCUGGGUAAAGUGGCUGGGGUAGAUGAUUUGCUAAAUUGCCUACUGGAGCUCUGGUGGGGAAACAGACGACCAGACAUGGUCGGUAUCUGUCUGUCCCCUUGCAGCCAGGCCCAGGAAAGCAAGUAACGUGGCAAAGAAAGUGACAUCCAUCCUCUGCAAUGAGCCUUACAACAGGGGCAGUCCUUUGCCUUCAGUGUCUUCUGUUCCAGUCUUGGGGAAGGUUCGUAAUUUAUCUAUGUGUAAAACCCACCUAGUCACUGGUCUUGAUUUCUCAAGCAGCAUCAGCACCAAAGAGAAAAUAUUCUUAAGUUUUUAAAAUGCCAUAGCCAAAUUUGAAGUCUGUCCUAGUCUUAACUUAUUAGUUAAUCUUUUAGAUAAACAGAAGCAAAUACCAGUGGACCAUUCCUCCUCUGAGAUGAUGCAGCCCUUUGGGAAACACAUGGGUAAAAUCCACAGAAAUAUCAUCAAAAGUUCAGUUUUCCCAUUGCAGCUAAAUGGUGAAAAUUCGGAUCUGAGAAAAACAUUUGGAUUGCUAAAUUAUUUAUACAGAUCUGACAGGAAUGUAGAAUUUAAAGUCCUUUGUAGCCAAAUGUAAAUACAAAUUUGUCUCUAUCUCAUGACAAGUGUUUAUUUUUUUUCCACUCUUGAGCAGUUAUGCUGAAUAUCUUAAUUAUCUUUAAAUCAAAUAUUGCUGCUCAGACCUUGGGAGCGGGAACUAAGCUCUCAUCAUUCUUUACUAAAUUUCAGCUAGAGGUUUUAAAACCAGCUGUCUCCAGCCCACAUAAUCCAGCCUUCAGUACAUUUUAUAAGACUUCUACAUGCCUCCUCCUUUUAAAAUUAGCAAAGAGUGCUGCAAGUAAGCAAAGCCCUUGAGUGAGAGAAACACGCUGCUGGGGAAAAAAAACUACUUUCUUUGAUUCUGACAAGUCACAGGAAACAAAGCAUCUAGAUACGUUUACUUCUCUCCUUUAUUCUUCCAUUGUUGCAUUGUUCGUGAAGGAUGUUUUCCUUAGCUGAAACUUGACUUUUCUCUCACUUUUACAAGCCACCUCUGGCUGCUACUUGCUCUAAUGACCUGCAAGAUCCAGGACAGGUUCCCAGGCCACCUCAGUCAAACACGGGCCAUGUAUUCCUGUAUAGUAUCAGGCAAGUCACUGUAGCUACGUGAGGGAUGUCAUCCAAAAGCAGAAGUGUGCAGGUAAUGCCUGGUGGAUACAUGACUGCACCCACACACAGGCACUGCUGUUUUAGGUUGAUGUACAAUAGAAAUGUUUUUUGUUUUUAUUUUCCUGGCAAAACAAGACCAGAAUCCUCUCUAGUUCAUUUAUUUCUGUGUGUUUACACUAGAAGCAUAUCUUCUUUAAGGAGGAUGUUUAGCUCCUUUGAAAAGUCCAGGCAAAUAAUAAACUGAAAUAUGGUUUUGAAAUAAAAUGUCAAAACACUUCAGCAUCUUGUUUCCUUUUCAUUUUCUCCUGCUGAACACAUUUGCUGAAUUUGACCCAAUCGGUUUGUUUCCCUCAAACUGCAAGUAUUCAUUAUUAUUCUUUUUAUUGCCAGGCUCUAUUAAUGAGUUUGGUUUAAGAAAAAUCAUAGAAACCCAUUAAAGCUACUUUAACUUCAACAGCUAAGUCCCAGCACACUGGUCCUUUGCUCAGAAGACCCCUGUUCAGUGAAUGGAGGAAAAUCAUAUUGGUCCCUCUGGUAGAGUGCUAAACACAACCCUUCACUUGGCACAGGAAAUAGAUUGGACAGAGACUGAUUAAUGAAGAUAACUAAUUAGGAGCCUGGCCUCAGUCAGCCAAGGCAUUUCACAUAGAUCCGCAAAGAAACAGAGUCAAAUUCAAUAAAAAAUAGGGCUGAAGGAACAUAUUUUUAUAUGUCAUUAUCUCUGGGUACUGGCUAAAACCUUUUUCAUAAUGUUAUAAUGGCUCAUUGUAUUGAAUAACAACCUCUUGAGAUGAUAAUUACAUUCUUGAUAGACGUAAAAAGUUAAAAACAGGAAUAUGAGUACAUUAAUGCUAAGCAAAUAGACAAAUGCUAAGUGUGUGCUAAUAAGAACAGAGAUCAGCUAAGUUCUUCAGUGAGCUAUUUUAAGAAACUGUUAAUGGAAGAUUACUGGGCACUCAGGUCAGCUCAAGACUUCAGAGGUGCUUUUCCUAUUUGAUUGUGGGCAAUCCAUGGUGUUUCUUUCAUUGUGGAUAAAAUAGAGGUAAUAAUACUCUGUAUGCUUUGUCUUUAGAUUUUUAGCCUCUUUGGAUCAAGCACUGUGUCAUUUCAAACAUGAAUGUGUCUGGUACAACUAAAUCAUAGCUUGGUUCAGGGCUAUGGUGCACCAGCAGCAGCAAUUAAUCACAUAAAAAUAGUUUGUUCCAAUUUUAAAAUGUCAGAAAUGCUUUCCAGGACAGAGCAAUCUACAUCUGUAGGAAAGGUGGUUUAUUUAUUGAAGAACUUCUUUCCUCUACUAAAUCCUUCGCACCCUCAGAGGCUGGGAAUAUCCUGCCUCUGGGUCACUGACUGUAACUCCAGCUCUCAGGCUGGAGAAGUAAAAACAGGGAGAUGGCUGAGCUUGCUUUGGACCUCCUGUUUCUCAUUGCUGUCACAAUAAUUAGAUUCCACUUUUCCUCUAGUUCUUUUAGCACUUCUUACUCAAAAGGCUGAAGCCUCCUGUGCUGUAAUGGUCUCGCUGCAGCUCUGCAGUGCUGUGCUUGUGAUGCUGGGCUGGUGUCGGGACAGGAUGCUCCCUUUGCACAGAGCAGCGCCCACCGCAGCUGCCCUCUCUUCUGCUGACCAGGUAACACUGGUGUCCUCUUUUAGACUUCAGCAUCUCACUUUUACCUGACAUGAUUACAGACAAGUGGAAUGAACUAGCCUGGCUAGGCACUGCGCCUGUUUGACCAGACCUACACUGACCUAGUUUAUUUUACAUUGCAUCUGGUGGAGAUUGCUCUGAACAUUCAUUUGAUGUUUGUCACUGUUGUCCAGUUAUUAACUGUAACAUGGAUGUUACUAUGACAUGCCUGAGAUGAUUAUUAGUAACUUUUAAGUAAGAACAGCAAACAAUCUCUGAGUGGGGCCUGGAAGAGGUGAGAAAUACAGGAUGUGAUUCAGUGAGCAUAUUGUGUAUAGCUUGUUUAUCUUCCUGCCUACCCAGUUUCUAGCUCUUGUCUUAUGAAACCAAACCUUCAGUAGCAAGCAGCUGGACAGGCUAAAUUUGUCAGUAUUAAGCAGUGCUACCAUUGGAAAAUUUAAUACUUUGGGUGAAGGUCACCAGGUCUCCUCUGUGAGCCAGAAUCACUGGGAUGCGGGUGGCCUGGUGGCUUUUCAGACAUGAACCAACAGGGCUCAGCUGAACCUUAAGUGAACCAAAUAACCACGUACCUAAAACACACCAUCACUGUGGCCAGAGAGGUUUUUUUCUAUCAGCCUGACCCGAAGCAGCAACACUUAACUGAGAAUGAAGUUUCUGUUUCCUGGAAAGCUGAUAAAACUCUCAUUGCUGUUGCCCUUUGCUCCCAUGGCCCGGUUGCAUUUUCCCUUUCAUGCUCAAGCAGGUGCUUGUGCCUUCCAGAGCUGUCAAACGUGGCAGUUUUUAAACAGCAAAACUCACAUUAAAAAUAAUCAGCCUCAUUAUACCAUUAGCAGUUGUAAUCGUGUCAGAACAAUAGCUGCCACGUUCCUCCAGCACAUCCCAAAUGCAUCACGCUCUCCUCUCACUAGAAAGAUUAGCAGUUUGUAUCUCACCUCUGGCUGGGUGCAAGGAUGAGAAUCACAAGCUCCCCUAUGCAGAAAAACACCCAACUUGGGAUGUGUGAGGGAUAACGACUCCCAGCUCCCCUCCACCCUGUUCAUGGAGACCUGCUGGGGCACUGCCACCCCCAGCUCUGCCCCUGCCAGCUCCUGGUGCUGAGCAGCACUGUGGAUCUUUAAACAGAAAGCUGAUGUUAGCUAGUGCCCCUCCUGACCCUGCUGGAGGGCUUGAAGACACCCCUCACCUUGAGCACUGAACUUGACUACUGCAAAAUAGCAGCAUAUGGUGCCAUAAUUUAAAAAUAAGCCUGCUUUGCUUUUUGUUUACAGCUGCUGGAGCAAAGUCUGGAGAAGCAGCCUUGGAUCUCAUGUCAGAGUGAACCAGGAUUGAAGAAGGCAUCACCAGGAGGGUCCCCAGGAACCUGGGCUAAAAGGGCCAGUUCACACAUAUGCCCAUGCAACAUCUAUGGUUUGGUAUCCUAGUAUCUUCUGGGUAUCGUGAAACUUGUGUUGCGAAACUGUAAAUAUGUUAAGGCAAAUAAUGGUAAGAUAUGAAAAUCCUGUUUUCUGUUAAUGGAAUAAAAGAACCCAGUAUUAAGACCAAAACUAAUAAUAAAGAUCCUCAUUAGUGCCUUUAACAUCUCAACUACUAUGUACUUCGGUUUAGGUUGUUCUUAACUUCUAACUUAAAGUUUCUUUGGCUACAGUAGCUGCUGCUUUUUCUCAACUACACAUCCUGCUCCCAGGGAAAGACAGGUCAGGUAGUAAACACCAAGUUUCACUGAUGUGUUGAAUGGGAGUUGCCAAUCCUCUUUCCGCCCUCCCCAAGGUUUUUCAAUUUGCCUUUCUAUGAU